rnacentral:rRNA from 1 species
UACGAGGGGGGCGAGCGUUGUUCGGAAUUAUUGGGCGUAAAGGGAGUGUAGGCGGUUUGCUAAGUCUUCUGUGAAAUCUACGGGCUCAGCCUGUAACGUGCAGAGGAAACUGACAGACUUGAGUGUCGGAGAGGAUAGUGGAAUUCCCGGUGUAGAGGUGAAAUUCGUAGAGAUCCGGAGGAACACCGACGGCGAAGGCAGCGCCCUGGCCGCCAUCUGACGCUCAGGCACGAAAGCUGGGGGAGCGAACAGG